CACGCCCUAAACGAUGUCUACUAGUUGUCGGGGAUUCGUUUCCUUGGUAACGCAGCUAACGCGUGAAGUAGACCGCCUGGGGAGUACGGCCGCAAGGUUAAAACUCAAAGGAAUUGACGG
rnacentral:rRNA from 1 species